rnacentral:rRNA from 1 species
UGGGGAAUAUUGGACAAUGGGCGAAAGCCUGAUCCAGCCAUGCCGCGUGUGUGAAGAAGGUCUUCGGAUUGUAAAGCACUUUAAGUUGGGAGGAAGGGCAUUAACCUAAUACGUUAGUGUUUUGACGUUACCGACAGAAUAAGCACCGGCUAACUCUGUGCCAGCAGCCGCGGUAAUACAGAGGGUGCAAGCGUUAAUCGGAAUUACUGGGCGUAAAGCGCGCGUAGGUGGUUUGUUAAGUUGGAUGUGAAAUCCCCGGGCUCAACCUUGUAACUGCAUUCAAAACUGACUGACUAGAGUAUGGUAGAGGGUGGUGGAAUUUCCUGUGUAGCGGUGAAAUGCGUAGAUAUAGGAAGGAACACCAGUGGCGAAGGCGACCACCUGGACUAAUACUGACACUGAGGUGCGAAAGCGUGGGGAGCAAACA